rnacentral:misc_RNA from 1 species
UCCAGCUUAUCGCUGGCGGUCUCCUGCGAGUGCCCAACUAAAUGAUGGCAACACAGGACAAGGGUUGCGCUCGUUGCGGGACUUAACCCAACAUCUCACGACACGAGCUGACGACAGCCAUGCAGCACCUGUCUCACGGUUCCCGAAGGCACUCCUACAUCUCUGUAAGAUUCCGUGGAUUCAAAGGUAGGUAAGGUUCUUCGCGUUGCAUCGAAUUAAACCACAUACUCCACCGCUUGUGCGGGCCCCCGUCAAUUCCUUUGAGUUUCAGUCUUGCGACCGUACUCCCCAGGUGGCGAACUUAACGCGUUAGCUUCGAUACUGCGUGCCAAAUUGCACCCAACAUCCAGUUCGCAUCGUUUAGGGCGUGGACUAC